GAUGAACGCUGGCUACAGGCUUAACACAUGCAAGUCGAGGGGAAACGCCGGGGAAGCUUGCUUCCCCGGGCGUCGACCGGCGCACGGGUGAGUAACGCGUAUCCAACCUGCCUCUGACUGAGGGAUAACCCGUCGAAAGUCGGCCUAAUACCUCAUGGUAUCGUCUGCGGGCAUCCAACGACGAUUAAAGAUUUCAUCGGUCAGGGAUGGGGAUGCGUCUGAUUAGCUUGUUGGCGGGGUAACGGCCCACCAAGGCUACGAUCAGUAGGGGUUCUGAGAGGAAGGUCCCCCACAUUGGAACUGAGACACGGUCCAAACUCCUACGGGAGGCAGCAGUGAGGAAUAUUGGUCAAUGGGCGAGAGCCUGAACCAGCCAAGUAGCGUGCAGGAAGACGGCCCUAUGGGUUGUAAACUGCUUUUAUGCGGGGAUAAAGUGAGGGACGUGUCCCUCAUUGCAGGUACCGCAUGAAUAAGGACCGGCUAAUUCCGUG
rnacentral:rRNA from 1 species